rnacentral:lncRNA from 1 species
UUGCAAUCAUAAGCAGAGGUACUGUGGCACAGUGACACCCACCAUUCACCCUCCUAGAUAAUUAGCAGUUGUCAGUCAGAGUCUUAUCAUCAGAAAGGCCUCAGGAAGCAAGCUUUGAGACAAAAAAAGAAAAACAGUUUUGUCUUUCACUAUGGCUGGCCGUGCCAGUAGGUUCAGGCCUGCGCCAACUGCCCCUUGUUCUUUUGUGCAGGGAAUGAUCUCUCUUCUCAGCCAUGCUGCUGAGAGCUCAUGCCACACGCAGUGCUCUCAUCCUUGCCCAUGGCAGCUUAGCACUGCGAGCCUCCAAGGAACAACUGCUCACCCACCUGGAGGGAGACAUUGUGGGCAACAUCCUGCUGCUUUACAGCUGCAGCUGCCAGGACUUGCAGAACAAGCUCGCGCUGGUGCAGAGCAUCACCGACUUCAGCUCUGCCUUCCAUGCUGUGGGUGACUCUGCCUGCUUUAACCCCUCCUUGAAGGGCAAGCUGCUGGAGAUCCUGAUGGUGAGUCAGGGCUGUCUGCAGUGGAGUUUCGGGCUGAGGCUUGCUUCCCUGGAGGCAUACAGGUCUCCCUCAGCCACAUGACUCCAGCUGGUGGGGACCUUGGGUGCUGGCAGGCAGAGGCUGGGCAGCAGUCUAGGUCCACCAGCUGUGGAGCUGCUGCAUCCUGCAGUGCUUCCGUAGGAAAUGUGGGAGUGAUGGGGCUGGUGUGUGGCAGCUGUGUCUGUCUCUGGGCUGGACAGAAGAGCUCUCAUGUGCUCCUUGCACACUUUGACAGUGUCUCUCUGGUACUUGCAGGACUUGCUGCAGGACCCUGCCCCUGGCAGGCCACAGCCAAGGAAAAGCUCCUGGGUUAGGAGGCAGGAGUGUCUGCAGAGAGUGGGUGCAGCAGCACAGCAGUGCUGGUGCUCAGUGAGGCACAGGGCUGUGUGAAGCCACAGGAGGAGCCAUGUGGAGGCACAGGGCAGGCCUGAGGGAAAGUGUUGGGAAAGGAGGGACAGAGGUGGGAGAGGGCAGGAAAGGAAAGGAUGUCCACAGUGAGACAGACGCUCUGCUCCAGAUCCUGCAGAUAGCAAUGACCUCAGACAAUGUGUGGCAGCGCAAGAGGGCCCUGCAGACCUGCUCCCAGCUGCUUGUGAAAAGCUUCAAGUGAGUAAAGAGCCUAACCCAGCUUUUUUUGUGCCUCUUGCCCCAGAAGAGAGGAAAUGCCUGCAAGCACUUUGGCUCCUUGGUGGGAUUGCUGGCCCUUCUGAUGUGUGACCUCAUGCCCACAUCCCACCAGCUGGCUGUCACUAUGCAUUUUUACUAGCAAUGAACAAGAGUUUUCAUACCAUACUGCACUUGUAAUAAUCUGUACCAAUGGAACUGACCUACUGUCGCUAUUGCCUCUGCCCACAAAGCACAGCUGUGUGUUCUUUGUGCUAGGGGCUGACCUGCAGGAGAGGAGCUCUGCAGAGAAGGACCUGGGUGUUCUAGUGGACAGCAGGUUGGCUGUGAGCCAGCAGUGUGCCCUUGUGGCCAAGAAGGCCAAUGGUAUCCUGGGGUGCAUUAAAAAGUGUGGUGGGCAGCUUGAGGGGGUGAUCCAGGACACUUUCCUGCUCAAACUCCUGUUGGAAACUCCUUUUAUCAGGGAGGUUGGUCUCAAUAAUCUCCGGAGGUCCCUUCUAUAGGUGAUUGAAUGAGAAAGAAACUGCAAGUACCAUGUGCUAAUUACACUGGAUGGAUCUGGCAGAUCAGAUCAAAGAAAGACUUGACACAAUUCCAAUAUCAUUAAAAUAAAUAAAUAAAAAGAUAGAUAGUGGGAGCUUAA